CAAAUUAUCAAAUUAAUUUAUCAUAAUUUAUUUAUUUGUUACAUAAACACAAAUUAUAUGUCAUAAUUACAAAUUUAGUCACAAAAACGCAUAUUUUUUAGGUUACAUUGGUCACAAUGAACCCCAACCACCACCACAAGGAUAACUGCACCACCACAUGUAGAUCAACAGAUCCACACACCACCCACAAAUUCAUACACAGUACUCAUAUUCCAUCACUCAGAUUUGCACAACCACGAGAUCGGUAAAUUUUCUUAAUUUUGGAUAAUGAAAUUGUAAAAUUUUUAAACAACUAUUCAUCGCACUACACAUCGGCGUCGUUAAUCAGUCCACCUAACCCCCAUUCAAUAUUUGUCUUCAUAUACUCCACAUACACACUCUCUCUCUCUCUCUCUCUCUCUACUUAGAUCUAAUAGCCAGAAUUCACUUCCAAUGGCCAGAUUUUUCUCAAAUUUCCGGUGAAUUUACCUCUUAAUCUACAAUUCGACCGUAUUCAUCAUAUGGUUACAAGUAUUUUACCUUUCUGUGAAGACGCUGAAUGAAUCCGGCCACGAACAUGUCUACACCGCCAUCGAGAAGCCGCUGCUUUGGGCAAAAUUCGCUGUGGAGCCAGCUGUUGCAUAUUCAGGGUUCUACAAAGCCUAAAUGACAUCAACGAUCGGAGUUAUCAGCCUAAUUAACACCCCAAAAUCACUUUAUAGACGGCAUCAUGGUUUGGUGGUGUUCGUGUAUGGUAGAGAGAGAAGGGUGGUGUUGAUGGAGUUGAAGAGAGAGAGAGAGGGAUAGUUAAUUUGGGUUGUUUCAGAAAGAUUAGAUUUCAAUUGGAGGCUAUUACUAUAUCAAUUUUUUAUUAAUUAAUUAAUUAUAAACCUAAUUAACA
rnacentral:lncRNA from 1 species